UACGGAGGGGGCCAGCGUUGCUCGGAAUUAUUGGGCGUAAAGGGCGCGUAGGCGGCUUGGUAAGUUUGAUGUGAAAUCCCAUGGCUCAACCAUGGAACUGCAUCUCAUACUGCCGAGCUAGAGUCUGGGAGAGGGAAGCGGAAUUCCCGGUGUAGCGGUGAAAUGUGUAGAGAUCGGGAGGAACACCGGUGGCGAAGGCGGGUCUCUGGGCAUCUCCUGACGCUGAGGCGCGAAAGCGUGGGGAGCAAACGGG
rnacentral:rRNA from 1 species